rnacentral:rRNA from 1 species
CCUGGCUCACGAUGAACGCUGGCGGCGCGCCUAACACAUGCAAGUCGAACGAGCGAGAGAGAGCUUGCUUUCUCGAGCGAGUGGCGAACGGGUGAGUAACGCGUGAGGAACCUGCCUCAAAGAGGGGGACAACAGUUGGAAACGACUGCUAAUACUGCAUAAGCCCACGGCUCGGCAUCGAGCAGAGGGAAAAGGAGCAAUCCGCUUUGAGAUGGCCUCGCGUCCGAUUAGCUAGUUGGUGAGGUAACGGCCCACCAAGGCGACGAUCGGUAGCCGGACUGAGAGGUUGAACGGCCACAUUGGGACUGAGACACGGCCCAGACUCCUACGGGAGGCAGCAGUGGGGAAUAUUGCACAAUGGGGGAAACCCUGAUGCAGCGACGCCGCGUGGAGGAAGAAGGUCUUCGGAUUGUAAACUCCUGUUGUUGGGGAAGAUAAUGACGGUACCCAACAAGGAAGUGACGGCUAACUACGUGCCAGCAGCCGCGGUAAAACGUAGGUCACAAGCGUUGUCCGGAAUUACUGGGUGUAAAGGGAGCGCAGGCGGGAAGACAAGUUGGAAGUGAAAUCUAUGGGCUCAACCCAUAAACUGCUUUCAAAACUGUUUUCCUUGAGUAGUGCAGAGGUAGGCGGAAUUCCCGGUGUAGCGGUGGAAUGCGUAGAUAUCGGGAGGAACACCAGUGGCGAAGGCGGCCUACUGGGCACCAACUGACGCUGAGGCUCGAAAGUGUGGGUAGCAAACAGGAUUAGAUACCCUGGUAGUCCACACCGUAAACGAUGAUUACUAGGUGUUGGAGGAUUGACCCCUUCAGUGCCGCAGUUAACACAAUAAGUAAUCCACCUGGGGAGUACGACCGCAAGGUUGAAACUCAAAGGAAUUGACGGGGGCCCGCACAAGCAGUGGAGUAUGUGGUUUAAUUCGACGCAACGCGAAGAACCUUACCAAGUCUUGACAUCCCUUGACAGACAUAGAAAUAUGUUUUCUCUUCGGAGCAAGGAGACAGGUGGUGCAUGGUUGUCGUCAGCUCGUGUCGUGAGAUGUUGGGUUAAGUCCCGCAACGAGCGCAACCCUUAUGGUCAGUUACUACGCAAGAGGACUCUGGCCAGACUGCCGUUGACAAAACGGAGGAAGGUGGGGAUGACGUCAAAUCAUCAUGCCCUUUAUGACUUGGGCUACACACGUACUACAAUGGCGUUAAACAAAGAGAAGCAAGACCGCGAGGUGGAGCAAAACUCAGAAACAACGUCCCAGUUCGGACUGCAGGCUGCAACUCGCCUGCACGAAGUCGGAAUUGCUAGUAAUCGUGGAUCAGCAUGCCACGGUGAAUACGUUCCCGGGCCUUGUACACACCGCCC